UUUGAUAUAUACAUAUCAAUGGCUUUACAUAUGUGUAUGUAUACACAUGUAUACAUACACAUACACAUAUACACACAUGUA
rnacentral:miRNA from 1 species